UUUAACUGAAGAGUUUGAUCAUGGCUCAGAUUGAACGCUGGCGGCAGGCUUAACACAUGCAAGUCGAGCGGGGGAAGGUAGCUUGCUACCGGACCUAGCGGCGGACGGGUGAGUAAUGCUUAGGAAUCUGCCUAUUAGUGGGGGACAACAUCUCGAAAGGGAUGCUAAUACCGCAUACGUCCUACGGGAGAAAGCAGGGGAUCUUCGGACCUUGCGCUAAUAGAUGAGCCUAAGUCGGAUUAGCUAGUUGGUGGGGUAAAGGCCUACCAAGGCGACGAUCUGUAGCGGGUCUGAGAGGAUGAUCCGCCACACUGGGACUGAGACACGGCCCAGACUCCUACGGGAGGCAGCAGUGGGGAAUAUUGGACAAUGGGGGGA
rnacentral:rRNA from 1 species